GCCUAUGGCCAUACCACCCUGAAUGCGCCCGAUCUCUUCUGAUCUCGGAAGCUAAGCAGGGUCGGGCCUGGUUAGUACUUGGAUGGGAGACCACCUGGGAAUACCGGCUGCAGUAGGCU
rnacentral:rRNA from 1 species